CUAUUCUAAUUCCAACCGGCGCAAAGCGAUGGAGGUUACGGGCUUACGGCGGCGAGCGGUAGCUGCGUCACUGCGUGUGCACUCACCGUCGUGCAGCGUUGGCGCGGUCCGGCGGCGGCGUCGAGGCGGGCAGUGCUGCAGGAGGCUUCGUGGCUGGUGACGGCCUCCUCGGCCGGCGACCCCGCGGGAGGCUUCACGGCCUGGUGGUUGGCCUGCCCCUUGCGGGUGACCUCAACUGUGUUGAGCGCUGGGGAAUGGGGAUAGCUCGACAAGUUCGCCGAGGAGGCAUUUUUUACCUAUGCCACGGUGUGUUUCUCUCUCGUCCUGACUGACGGAGGUGGGUUUUCGGCCGCUCGGCGAUCUUGGUGUGCACAUAGGAGGGCUGUGUGUAGCGGUGACAGCCAACAGAAGAUGCAGCGGCUCGACCUCCUCUCCAGUUGAAAUCGUCAAGGCGGCCUCCCCUGAAUUCGCUCAGGCUGGAAUCAAUUGCGGCGUAACUCAGCACCACCAGUCGCCCCAACCUACAGAUCCUGUCAAUAUUCCUCGAGCUUCAGGCUAAGAUGUGCAGGGUAGCAGCACAAGAUCUAUUCGGUACCCCCUGAUUCUUCCAUCAGCUAGACCAGGCUCUUACCACCCAAGCUGCCCCGGAAGGAGGUUUGUCCAUCACCGGCUACAGGCUUGAUAAAAAUAAACGUUGAUGCCUCUUGUCAAGUAUCUUGACGAUUGCUCCAUUACGUGUAUUACCAGGGACAACAAAGGGGAGAUGUUUGUACUCUCUUAACCGGGAUUAAGUGCAAAGAUGUUUCUGAUGAUGAAGGCUGAGCUUGUCUUUUGGGGCUUAAGAGUUUGCAUGAUUUGUCAUGGAGUGCAAUAAUGCUAAUGUGGAGAAGCGAUCAAGAUAAUAAAUGUUGGUAUCUGUAGACUAUUGCGCCUGUUUGAAGAUAUAUGUGCACUUUAGGAUUGUUGUCUACUAUUUUUCUGGUAUUAAUAUUGGAAGAGACAGUAACAUAGCCGCACUAGCUGUUGUAACUAGGAUUUUAAAUCAGAAUGAUUUGUGGUUGAGGGUUGCAAA